rnacentral:lncRNA from 1 species
AACAAGUUUGCAUUCCAUACACAUAUUUUCUAUGUCAUGCCCCGUCCCGAAUCCACUACCAAUUUGGCAUGGUUCGGGCGCGCCGGACGGACCGCCGAACGAACAGCACCUCUCCUGUCCGCCCAAGGCCAAGCAACCAGAUCAUGUACAGUUAAGCGCCCAGGGAAUGCUUAAAUAACAUACAUGAUCGACUAAGGCACACAAGUGCCAAGAAACUAAGAGCAAGAACCACAAGUGAAUGUACAAGUGUAUAAAGAGAGAUAGUCUAACUAUUACAACCAUUCAACAUUUACAUCAUUUGAAUAUAUUACAUAUCCAUCUUUCAAAAUGUAAAUACAUAUUUUCCUCAAAAUACAAGUAGCUCUCCAAUAACUAUCCAAAACAUCAUCUAGUACACAAGGGUACUCUAAUGCAUAAAGGAAAAGCUACUAACUAGGCUCACUUAGGGCGCUAUGCCCUUGCCGCGGUCCUCGCUCGGCUCGCCUCUAUAUGUACCUGUACCCCCAAAACCACAUGGGGUGAGAACUAUAUAAAUAUAGUUCCCAGUGGGUUCGGCCGCCGACGCCGCCGGUUUUCCCACUAGGUCUAAGCUGGCACAGAUAGAGAGAUAGAUAGAUAUAUAAAAAUGAACUGCAAUUACUCUAUCAUGCCAUCAAUGAUAAUAAUGCAUGCAACAACUGCUAUCAUACUAGUAUUAUGUCAUGAGUAUAUAUAAAGUGCAUAGUAAUGUAAACUACAACAUACACUAUGUCUACUCAAGAUAAUAAUGCAAGUCUACUAUGCAUUCCAUGUUUAUUACCCAAUCUACUUGGUUAAUCCGUAGGUUAAACCCUCGACUCACUCUCAAUCUCAUAGGUGAGGAGAAGCUGCACUCGCACACCGAGACCGUCUGCGGGACAACUACGUCUGCCCCUAGUAAAGUACUCCGGAGACUCGUGCCAUGGUGGAGCGACCACCGACAGCGAAAACAGACUAGUGAGUAUGAUCCAAUCCUCACAAGAGGAUACCCUAUCUACAAGGGUCAACGUGCCUCUGCUGCACAAUAUACAAUGCAUCCUAGAUACCGGGAUCUCUACUAUCCCUAGAACCAUGUCAUGUUUACCACACUAGACUCGAUGCCACUCGUUCGAUCAUUGUAAUAAUGUUCUGUAACUAAUUGACAUACCACUCGUUCAAGUUUAGUGUUUCUACUACACUAGUUGAAUGCCACUCUACUAGGCUAUCAUAUGUCCAAGUUCGGCUCUUUAUGUCAUUAUAGGAUUUCCAUGUCACAAGACCCAGUCCUCAUGCUAGCCUAGUCCAUGUGUCCAACUCACAGUUACACUACUAAGAAGCAUGCAAGGAAAUAGAAUUUGCAACUAUCUACUAAUCCUAUAAUGCAAUAUGAUCAAGCAUAUAUAUAACUUAGACAUAAAAAGAAACCCGGAUGUUUCGGGAUGACACCCCCCACCUUUUCUUGAUGUAGAGGUUCUAGAAACGCUCUUCGGCGAACUUUACGACAAAGUCUUGGCCUUCUUGGUCCAAAACAAUGCUAAAUCGGCCGUAUUUGCCGAUAGCUCUAAAUCCACUCGACGAAGCGUAAAUCCGACUUCGCCCCCGCGUUUAGGCACCUACCAAUUAGGUUAGAGGAGGGUCAAAUGAGAUCAAUCCUCUACUUUACCAAAAAUCCUAUUUUGGUGCCCUAGGGUUAGCACCAAGCUAAACCCAUCUCAAAACUCUAGAUUCUAGCUCCAAUCCUACCAUUCAUAGUGCUAGGGAUCCAUUUGAUCCCAUCCAAAGAGCUAAAACCCAAAACCCUAAAUUCCACAACUAGGGUUAGAAGCCUACCUCUUGUUGUAGCUUCAAAGAGAGAAGAGAGGAAGAGGGAGAGGUCCAAAAGCUUUCCAAGCUUGAUAUCCUUCUUCUUCUCCUUCCUUUUCUUCCUUUUCUUCCUUCUCUUUUCUUCUUCUUCUUGUUCCUUCUCUUUUCUUUCUAGAGAGAGGAGGGAGAGAAUGAGAGAGAGAGAGAGGAAUGAGGGGCUGAGGGAGAGAGAGGGACCCAUAAGCCCUCUAUUGUAACAAUAUCCCAAUAAGUCCCUCAACUUUCAUCUCUGUGCACUGCCUGUUACUGGGCAUUUUUCGCCCAGAGGGACCGGUCUCCCCGACUUGGGACCGGUCCCUGAGAGCCUCAGCUCGGGUCACGCGUUCGGGUACCGGUCUCUCCCAGAGAGACCGGUCCUCGGGAGGCCGGUUCCUUCCUGAGAGACCGGUUCCCGAGAGCAGGAUUUUCGGGACUUAGCCAAAUUUUGGCUUUUCUCGCUCGGGUCACGUUCGGGGACCGGUCCCUCCCUGCCAGGGACCAGUUGCAUCAAGCAACCCCGCAACACCAGUCGAUGGGACCGGUCCCUCCCUGCCAGGGACCGGUCCCCGAGAGCAAUUUUGCUCCAGUGCAGAUUUUGCACUAUUUGCUCCCGUGGACUCGUUUUCAAUGCACUUUUGGUGAUUUUGACAUUUUUGGCUUUUCCAAAGCACACCAACACGACCCUUGGUCGAUUCUGAACGAAGUCUAACUCUCAUAUUUCGAGAAUUUACUUCCUUACAUCCUCCCCUCCUAAAAAGAAGUUUCAUCCUCGAAACGAAUUCAUUAACUUAAUCAACUCAUACCUCAUUGCAUUUCUGUAAAGAGAUGAAGAUAGUGCACUUUCAUCGUUUCCUCGAGUUCCCACGUGACCUCACGAUCGUCGUGACCGGCCCAACGAAUCUUCACAUAGGGAAUCUCACGAUUUCUCAAUUUCCGCACUUCUCGAGCAAUGAUCAUCGCAGGGAACUCUUCAUAGCUCAAAUCCUCCUGUAGAUCUAGCGGCUCAUAAUACAUAACAUGCUCGGGAUCGGAAAUAUACUUGCGAAGGUUGGAGACGUGGAACACAUUAUGCACUCCCACGAGCUUCGGCGGUAAUGCUAAUCUAUAUGCUACUGCUCCAAUACGUUCCAACACUUCGAACGGUCCGAUAUAUCGGGGACUUAGCUUUUCCCGCACUCCGAAGCGUUUCACACCUCUCAUUGACGAAACCUUCAGGAAAACGCGGUCACCUACCGCGAAUUCUAAAUCUUUACGGCGUUUGUCAGAAUAGCUCUUUUGCCUCGACUGUGCCGUGAGCAGCCUCUCGCGAGCAAGACGGACCUUCUCUUCCGCCUCUUGCAAUACAUCGGGGCCCAAUGCCGUAGGCUCACCUACAUCAUUCCAACAUAUAGGGGAUCGGCACUUCCGUCCAUAUAGGACCUCGAACGGUGCCAUCCCAAUGCUAGCUUGAUAAUUGUUAUUGUAGGCGAACUCGGCCAUCCUCAAAUGGUUUGCCCAACUACCUUUGUAGUCAAUGACACACGUCCGCAACAUAUCCUCCAGAAUCUGUAUAUUCCUCUCUGACUGUCCAUCUGUCUGAGGAUGAAACGCGGUGCUGAAAUCAAGCCGUGUGCCAAGUGCUUCCUGCAGGUUUUUCCAAAAGUGCAAAGUAAAACGGGGGUCUCGAUCUGACACGAUUGACUUCGGAACCCUGUGCAACCUCACAACUUCAUCCAAGUAUACCUGCGCCAAUUUGUCACCCGACCAGGUAGUGUGAAUCGGUAGAAAGUGUGCCGACUUGGUCAUACGAUCCACAAUCACCCAGAUCGCGUCGUGGCCACCCGUCGAACGGGGCAAUCCGACUACGAAGUCCAUAGCUAUGUUCUCCCAUUUCCAAACGGGAAUAGGUAAACUUUAGAGCUUUCCCGCUAGAAAUCGACGCUCAGCCUUCACUUGCUAGCAUACAAGGCACUGCGCUACAUAGCGCCCAAUAUCAGCUUUCAUGCCCGGCCACCAGUACUGCAUCUUUAGGUCACGGUACAUCUUGGUGCCGCCCGGGUAAAUGCUAUAAAGAGUCCGAUGUGCUUCUUGCAAUAUUAACUUCCGGACCUCCUCGUUCUCCGGUACGCACCAUCGGUUUCGAAACCGAAGCGCACCAUCACCAUCUACACUGAAAUCGCCGCCGCGUCCACUCUCGAUGUCCCGCCGCACCUUUUGGAGAUUGGUGUCUGCAGAUUGCAAAGUCUUAAUCUGCUCCAACAAGGUCGGUUGGACAACGAGAGCCGUAUGCAUAGACGAGAUUUCCGAAGCUACCACCUCGAGAUACAAUCGUUCCAUCUCUCUCCACAGUGGCUCCUGAUGUGUGACCAACAUAGCAAGAUUUUUCACUGACUUUCUGCUAAGCGCGUCGGCCACCACGUUUGCUUUUUCGGGGUGGUAUAGGAUCGUCACAUCGAAAUCCUUCAGCAGUUCCAACCACCACCGCUGUCACAUAUUGAGCUCCUUUUGCGUGAAUAGGUACUUUAGACUCUUGUGGUCCGUGUAUAUCUCGCAACGCGCGCCAUACAAGUAGUGCCUCCAUAACUUGAGGGCAAACACUACCACGGCCAACUCUAAGUCGUGGAUAGGGUAAUUCUUCUCAUAGCUCUUCAGCUGACGGGACGCAUAAGCGAUCACCUUCCCGCCUUGCAUCAGCACACACCCUAAGCCCAAAUGUGACGCAUCGCUAUACACCACAAAGUCUUCGUCUUGCACCGGUAAGGCGAGUACCGGAGUCGAAGUCAAUCUAUCCUUCAACUCUUGAAAACUCCGAUCGCACUCGUCACUCCAAAUGAACUUGGUGCCUUUCCGAGUCAGACGAGUAAGUGGACCCACGAUCUUUGAGAAUCCCUCCAUGAACCGUCUAUAAUAACCCGCUAAACCCACGAAGCUUCGAACUUUCGCGACGUUAGUCGGGCGAGGCCAAUCUUUGAUCGCCUCCACUUUCCUCGAGUCAACAGAUACUCCACCCUCGAAAAUAACAUGCCCAAGAAAUGCAACCUCUCGGAACCAAAAGUCGCAUUUCUUAAACUUAGCAUAUAGCUUCUCCUCUCGAAGGACUUGAAGCACUAUUCUCAAAUGCUUGGCAUGUUCCUCGUCGCUACAAGAAUAAACCAAGAUGUCGUCUAUGAAGACCACGACAAAUCGAUCCAAGUACUCCUUGAAGACACGGUUCAUUAAAUCCAUGAACGCUGUCGGGGCGUUAGAGAGCCCAAACGGCAUGACCUUGAAUUCAUAAUGUCCAUACCGCGUGCGAAACGCGGUCUUUUGCACAUCUUUCGGCUUAAUCUUAAGUUGGUGAUAACCGGAUUGUAGAUCAAUCUUUGAAUAAACCCGAGACCCUUGCAACUGAUCAAACAGAUCGUCAAUCCUCGGCAACGGUACUUGUUCUUGAUCGUGACUUUGUUCAACUCGCGGUAGUCUACGCAGAGUCGAAACGAUCCGUCCUUCUUUCGCACGAAUAGGACCGGGGCUCCCCACGGCGAUACACUUGGUCGUAUAAAUCCCUUAUCAAGGAGAUCUAUCAAUUGAGCCCGCAACUCCUUCAAUUCUGCCGGCGCUAUCCGAUACGGAGCCUUCGAGAUAGGCACGGUUCCUGGAACCAAGUCUAUCACGAACUCGAUCUUCCGGUCUGGCGGCAUUUCCGGUAACUCCGCGGAAAAUACAUCUGGAAAUUCCCGAACCACGGAUAACUCCUCAAGUGCCGAAGUCGUCCUCUCGAGUUCCACAACGGUCGCCAAGUAGGCCGUACAACCGCUGUUAACUAGCUUCCUUGCUCUCGUCGCCGAUACCAUGGCGGCGAAGUACGAGCUUCUACAAGCCCGAUAGACGAACUCUUCCUGGCCCGGUUCGCAAAACGUAAUCACUCUACUUCUGCAGUGAAUAGUCACAUAGUACAUCGAGAGCCAAUCCAUUCCUAGAAUGACGUCGAAGUCUUUCAACUUCUUGAACACCAACAUACGGAUGGGCAUUAUCCAAUUGCCCAAUCGCACCGGACAAGAUGAACACUCCAUACAGACUAGAAAAUCAUGUCCGGGGCCUGAUACCCUCCAAGUGCUUUUACUCUCUUGUAGUUCUAUGUCAUGCAUGCGUGCAAAUGACUUACUGAUGAAUGAAUGCGUAGCACCUGUAUCAAACAUGGCCCUGGAGUGAACUCUAUUAAUUAAAACCAUACCUGCGAGUACAUGGCGAUCCUCCGCCUCAGCAGGUUCCUCGGCUUGAGUUUGGGCGGCGAACACCCGCCCACUCGGAGCCGAUCUCGUCGCCUCAGGUUGGCAUGGUACCAUCGCACGUCCAGCCGAUGACGCAGCAGGUGGGACUCCUCCAUAAUGAGCCGGAGUCGCCGGAGCCGAUGCGACCGAAUGGGUGGGCGAAGCCCUCACUGGACAGUAGCGGCUGAUGUGGCCCGCCUGUCCACACGUGAAGCACUUCCCCUCCCGUUGAUCACACGUCCUCGGCUCGUGGUUCCCACCACAAAUUGUGCACCGCUGCGGUCCGUGGCCCUUGGAUUGCGUUCGCGGGUACUUCGGGGGCUUCCUUGACUUGGUUUGAGCUCCCGAGCUACUCUGAGCUCGCUUCUUACCACCGUCCUUCUCGGACGCCUCUCGCUCCUCCCGGAUGUGAGCGUUUCCUUGCUCCGCCUAUAACGCUCUGUCGAGCACCUCCGCGAAGGUAGUGAGCUUCAAAAUGUGCACCGCCCGGUAGAUAUCAGCCCGGAGCCCUCGCUCAAACCAAUCGGCUCGAUCCCUGUCAUCCCGCACUACGUCGGGGACGCAAUCAAUGAUGUGAGAGAACUCCCGCUCAUAUUCCGCUACCGUGCGGCUACCUUGCUUCAACUUCCGAAAUUGCUCUUGGAGCUUCUUCUUCUCGCUAUCGGGAAAGUAGUUGACGUAGAACAAUCCCCGAAACUCCUCCCACGUCAACGGCGGAAGGUCGGAAGCUCGGUUUCUCUUGAUUCGCUUCUACCAAACCUUCGCCGUUCGCUCCAAACAAUGAGUGGCGAGGUAGAUCUUGUCCCUCUCCAACGUAUAGAGGUCCUCGAACAAGGUCUCCAUUGAGUCCACCACGACUCAACCAUCGAUGGCUCCACCUUCUCUCCCUCGAAGGUCGGUGAAUUGAACUUUCGGAACUUCUCGAGAGCCGCAAGUGCGCGCUCCCUCUCCGCCUCCAAUGCCACCACAUCGGGUAUCGUAGAACUUGACGCCGCCGGACGCUCGCCGGCAAAGGACGUGCCGCCACCGGAACUGCCGCAAUGCCCUCGCCCUCAGCCGCCGUAGGCGCACGAGCUGGAGGCGGCGGCGGGUUACGGCCCUCAGUCGCAGCUGCAGUUGCCGCCGCAAAAUGCCUCUCCAUAAGCCCUUGGAGCUCCUCGAAUCGACUCUCCUGGCGCUGUACAAUGCCGGUCAUUGUCGACACCUGCGCCCGUAACUCCUGUACUUCACUAGAUCCGGCUUCCUCGGGCACCUCAAAAGAUGGUGCCGGAACGGACCUACGCACGUAGCGUCUUGGGGAUAUUGUUCCUGCAACACAACAACCAGGUUAGUCAUCUAACUCACUCAACUCCGUCGCAUACACUAUAUUACGCGACUCAACUCCGCCAUAAGCGGACGUACAACAUUGUAUUAGUCCUAACUCUUAGCGUCGUGUUGUCGGCCGCCAACACAAACUCCUCGAGCUCGAAACUAACACCGCUCGGAUCUAUCUCUAGCCAUACUAGAGAUUUAUACUCGAUCCGACCUAAUUGGAUUCUUCCUCCACCGAUAUAGGUUUACGUUUCUCUCACGUACUUAUCACCUUAGGGUUGCCAACCUAGGUCUCCUAGGUCCAUCCUAGACUCUCUCUUUACUUGCUCUUAAUUGCUCUGAUACCAACAACUCUUGUCACCCCCCGCCCCGAAUCCACUACCAAUUUGGCACGGUUCGGGCGCGCCGGAUGGACCGCCGAACGGACAGGACAUCUCCUGUCCGCCCAAGGCCAAGCAACCAGAUCAUAUACAGUUAAGCGCCCAGGGAAUGCUUAAAUAACAUACAUGAUCGACUAAGGCACACAAGUGCCAAGAAACUAAGAGCAAGAACCCACAAGUGAAUGUACAAGUGUAUAAAGAGAGAUAGUCUACCUAUUACAACCAUUCAACAUUUACAUCAUUUGAAUAUAUUACAUUUCCAUCUUCCAAAAUGUGAAUACAUGUUUUCCUCAAAAUACAAGUAGCCCUCCAAUAACUAUCCAAAACAUCAUCUAGUACACGAGGGUACUCUAAUGCAUAAAGGAAAAGCUACUAACUAGGCUCACUUAGGGCGCUAUGCCCUUGCCGCGAUCCUCGCUCGGCUCGCCUCUAUGUGUACCUGUACCCCAAAACCACAUGGGGUGAGAACUAUAUAAAUAUAGUUCCCAGUGGGUUCGGCCGCUGACGCCGCCGGUUUUCCCA